rnacentral:rRNA from 1 species
GACGAACGCUGGCGGCGUGCCUAAUACAUGCAAGUUGAGCGCUGAAGGUUGGUACUUGUACCGACUGGAUGAGCAGCGAACGGGUGAGUAACGCGUGGGGAAUCUGCCUUUGAGCGGGGGACAACAUUUGGAAACGAAUGCUAAUACCGCAUAAAAACUUUAAACACAAGUUUUAAGUUUGAAAGAUGCAAUUGCAUCACUCAAAGAUGACCCCGCGUUGUAUUAGCUAGUUGGUGAGGUAAAGGCUCACCAAGGCGAUGAUACAUAGCCGACCUGAGGGGGUGAUCGGCCACAUUGGGACUGAGACACGGCCCAAACUCCUACGGGAGGCAGCAGUAGGGAAUCUUCGGCAAUGGACGAAAGUCUGACCGAGCAACGCCGCGUGAGUGAAGAAGGUUUUCGGAUCGUAAAACUCUGUUGGUAGAGAAGAACGUUGGUGAGAGUGGAAAGCUCAUCAAGUGACGGUAACUACCCAGAAAGGGACGGCUAACUACGUG